GAAGGGGCCUAGCGUAGUUCGGAUUUACUGGGCUUAAAGAGUUCGUAGGUGGUUGAAAAAGUUAGUGGUGAAAUCCCAGAGCUUAACUCUGGAACUGCCACUAAAACUUUUCAGCUAGAGUAUGAUAGAGGAAAGCAGAAUUUCUAGUGUAGAGGUGAAAUUCGUAGAUAUUAGAAAGAAUACCAAUUGCGAAGGCAGCUUUCUGGAUCAUUACUGACACUGAGGAACGAAAGCAUGGGUAGCGAAGAGGAUUAGAUACCCUCGUAGUCCAUGCCGUAAACGAUGUGUGUUAGACGUUGGAAAUUUAUUUUCAGUGUCGCAGGGAAACCGAUAAACACACCGCCUGGGGAGUACGACCGCAAGGUUAAAACUCAAAUGAAUUGACGGGGACCCGCACAAGUAGUGGAGCAUGUGGUUUAAUUCGAAGAUACGCGCAGAACCUUACCAACACUUGACAUGUUCGUCGCGACUCUAAGAGAUUAGAGUUUUCGGUUCGGCCGGACGAAACACAGGUGCUGCAUGGCUGUUGUCAGCUCGUGUCGUGAGAUGUUGGGUUAAGUCCCGCAACGAGCGCAACCCUCACUUUUAGUUGCCAUCAUUAAGUUGGGCACUCUGAAAGAACUGCCAGUGAUAAGCUGGAGGAAGGUGGGGAUGACGUCAAGUCCUCAUGGCCCUUACGUGUUGGGCUACACACGUGCUACAAUGGUAUCUACAACAGGAAGCAAGACUGCGAAGUUAAGCAAAUCCCUAAAAGAUACCUCAGUUCGGAUUGCACUCUGCAACUCGAGUGCAUGAAGCUGGAAUUACUAGUAAUCGUGGAUCAGCGUGCCACGGUGAAUGCGUUCCCGGGUCUU
rnacentral:rRNA from 1 species